UUCUCUCUGCCCUGUUCGUGAGGUUAGUACGCCCCUGCGGAAUAAUCGAAGAACGGGAGCCUUUUUAAACUGUGGUGUGCUGCCCCUUGCGGGAUUUGCCUGAAGCAGUGUAAAGGAGCCCACCUAUUAGGGAACUCGCUGUGAGGCCCCGAACCAACGGCAUGGUGGAGAGAAU
rnacentral:other from 1 species